rnacentral:misc_RNA from 1 species
AACGCACCUUGCGCUCUCUGGUAUUCCGGAGAGCAUGCCUGUUUGAGUGUCAUGAACUCUUCAACCCACCGGUUCCUUGUUGGACCGAUUGGUGUUUGGAUUUUGAGCGCUGCUUUUCAUUAAGCUCGCUCGUAAUACAUUAGCAUCUCAAUUUCGUAAUCGGAUUGACUCAGCGUAAUAGACUAUUCGCUGAGGACACUAUUUACUUAGUGGCCGAGAAUGAAAAAGCUAGAAGCUUCCAACCCAUCUAGUCAUUUUUGAUUUAGACCUCAGAUCAGGCAGGAUUACCCGCUGAACUUAA